AGAGUUUGAUCAUGGCUCAGGAUGAACGCUGGCGGCGUGCCUAAUACAUGCAAGUCGAACGAGGUGCUUUUGUAGCAAUACGAGAGUAUCCUAGUGGCGAACGGGUGAGUAACGCGUUGGUGACCUACCCCAAAGUGUGGGAUAACAGUCCGAAAGGACUGCUAAUACCGCAUGUGGUCAUUGGGUUUAGAAACCGGUGACUAAAGGAGCAAUUCGCUUUGGGAGGGACCUGCGUCCCAUCAGCUAGUUGGUGAGGUAAUGGCUCACCAAGGCGACGACGGGUAGGGGACCUGAGAGGGUGACCCCCCACAAUGGAACUGAAACACGGUCCAUACACCUACGGGUGGCAGCAGUAGGGAAUAUUGCUCAAUGGGCGAAAGCCUGAAGCAGCAACGCCGCGUGUGUGAUGAAGGCCUUCGGGUCGUAAAGCACUUUUCUGGGAGGUGAGAAAGGACAGUAUCCCAGGAAUAAGUCUCGGCUAACUACGUGCCAGCCGCCGCGGUAAUAC
rnacentral:rRNA from 1 species